AUGAUUGUAAUUGCCAUAGUAGAGGGUAUAGCAAUAGUAUUGGUUACCAUUUUGGUAAGAAAUGUUUGGGGAAAGCUGUAUAGCAAUGAAGAUGAAGUUAUCAAAUAUGUUGCCAAGAUGAUGCCUCUGCUAGCACUGUCUGAUUUCCUAGACGGUUUCCAGUGUGUGCUUUCAGGAGGUGCUAGAGGUUUGUGGUUGGCAGAAU